rnacentral:rRNA from 1 species
AUUGAACGCUGGCGGCAUGCCUUACACAUGCAAGUCGAACGGCAGCAUGAUCUAUCUUGCUAGAUUGAUGGCGAGUGGCGAACGGGUGAGUAAUACAUCGGAACGUGCCCUGUAGUGGGGGAUAACUAGUCGAAAGAUUAGCUAAUACCGCAUACGACCUGAGGGUGAAAGUGGGGGACCGCAAGGCCUCAUGCUAUAGGAGCGGCCGAUGUCUGAUUAGCUAGUUGGUGAGGUAAAGGCUCACCAAGGCGACGAUCAGUAGCUGGUCUGAGAGGACGAUCAGCCACACUGGGACUGAGACACGGCCCAGACUCCUACGGGAGGCAGCAGUGGGGAAUUUUGGACAAUGGGCGAAAGCCUGAUCCAGCAAUGCCGCGUGUGUGAAGAAGGCCUUCGGGUUGUAAAGCACUUUUGUCCGGAAAGAAAUGGCUCUGGUUAAUACCUGGGGUCGAUGACGGUACCGGAAGAAUAAGGACCGGCUAACUACGUG